AGGUCACAAGAUUGCGCCAACCCUUACAUGGUCCUUAAAAAAAAAACCUUCUGACACUGCAGUAGUGAAAAUGAAGCGCACGAUGGGCGGAAGCUGUGAGUCCGGCAAAGUUUUAAAAUGAUGACGUAUUUUAUUAACUCUAACGGCACUGGCGGGUGACUGAAAAUACUAGUGCUGUGUAUGCGGGAUAGACAUUAUUUUCCUGCCCUACAUGAGGGGCUCGUGCGCGGAACGACAUGGGCAGCCCCGGCGGAAACUGCAGGCACAAGCCGGGACGCCGCGGGUUUAAAACAUGCGCGUGAGGUGACCAGAGCGCGUGCGCGAGGGUGUGGGGGGAUGGGAGGGGCAGCAGCCCUCUUCCGGGGGGGAGGGGCGGCGAGGCGAGGCCUGCGGAGCGGGUGCGCGCGGGCGGGCACGUGGGGCCCUUUCGUCCCCGGCGUCCGGGCGCCCUGCAUGGAUCCCCCACCCCAGCUCCUGCUCCCCGGCGGCGGCCGGUGGGCAGAAAGACCGAAACCCACUCACGGCCGCCUGCCGAAUCGCGGCUCUGCUGUUUGUGGGGCGUGCUAGAAACGUGGUCCUAAAAAGAAUGGCGUCCAUUUACAUAAUGCUUUGUUUGCGUUUCGCAAGUUUCUUUCGGUUAAAGCCACAGAAACCCCACCUCCUGCCCUUGUGUCGUUUCCACCGCGGCACCCUUUUCCGACAUUAGAAACAAUAGUGUACGCCUGUGGAGGCCUCGUUUGUUCAGGGGCUGCCGGCCAGGGCUUCAGGACGUUUCUGCGGCUUUCCCCGCGCGGCCUGGGCUCCCGCGGCUGCUUUUCGGGCCCAUGGGCGCAGCCACUGCGCCAGGCUCAAGGGGGGCGGCCCCGUCAGGGCCCGCCAUCUUGGAAGGCCUUUUUUGCCGGUUCUUCCCGCUGAGGAAGUGUCGCUCAAGACGCUGGCCUAUGAGUUGUGAUUUCUGCCUUUUCCCCUUCCUCCUUGGGCUAAGCCAGACCAGAAAGGGCCCCGUGCGCAACGUGCUUCACAAUCUCUCAGGGAAAGCGGCUAACGUGGCGCUACUCCGCCUCCCCUGUUCCUUACCCUUGGGGCGGCCGCCAUGUUUCCUGAACACAAAAUGGCGACACGUGGUUAGCAUUCGUCGCCAACGAGAAAUUGGGGUCGGCCCGAAAGCUCUAGAAUGCACCCCUCUUCCUCCCCGGGGCCUUCCACCUCCGCGAGUUUUAUGACUUAAAAAAGCCCACAGGCUGGUCUGAAGGUCGGAGGCCUAAUUUUAACGCGUUUUCCUCCCUUUAAUUUGAAACGGGAACGCGAAUGACUGUAAAAUGUGGGCACAAUAUUUAAUCUCUCGCCUUUUUAAAGCUUAAUAGUGGAUAAUAGGGGGGCAGUAUCAAGGGAUAAUUUGGGUCCCCACAGUACCAAAGCAUUUAGAAACCUCUGUUUAAUUUAAGGAAUGAGAUAAGUUACUGCUUUUCUAGACUUCCUAGCAUGGGCUGUUGUGCUGGAGAGAACGAGAGCUACGAAGAGACUACAGUGCCUCUGACUUUUUCAUAGGACAGUUGGCCGAGGAAGACAAACAUAAAGAUGAAGUGCUUAAUUCAAGGUCACACAAUGUCGGGGAUGGACCUCCAGAUUUCCUUACUGGUGAGACGUGGUCUUGUAACACAGUGGUUAAGAAUGUGACUUUGGAGCCAGCCUGCUAGGGGCUGAAUUCUGACUCAGCCAUUUACUAACUGUGUGACCUUAGGCUGGAGUGCAAUGGCAUGAUCUCGGCUCAUCACAACCUCUGCUUCCUGGGUUCAAGCGAUUCUCCUGCCUCAGCCUCCCGAGUACCUGGGACUACAGGCACUCGCCACCAUGCCCGGCUGAUUUUUGUAUUUUUAAUAGAGAUGGUUUCACUAUGUUGGCCAGGCUGGUCUCGAACUCCUGACCUUGUGAUCUGCCCACCUCAGCCUCGAAAAGUGCUGGGAUUACAGGCGUGAGCCACUGCGCCCAGCCUUGUAUUUUUUUUCAGUUUGGGUAGCUGUCCCUAAUUCAUUUGUUAAAGGAGAAGCAAGAGCAAGAACCUUUAAUCUGUUCUCCUCUUCCCUAAUUUGAAAGUAGCUUGUUAUUUUGAAUAUCACUUUCUCUGAAAUAGCACAUCUCCAUCUCAGAGAAUGGAUUUAAUGUUUGGAUACAGCCAAAAGUCAUUUCAUUACCAAACCAUGGGGUGAAUAUACCAUGUAAAGCAGUUUGGGAUCAGAACUCACAGUCUGAAUUGUAAGUGAUGAGACUGCUGUCUCUCUGCUACAGCUUCUUGGCUGGCUCUGAAGGCUCUUUGAAGGCAGAUCCUAACAAGGGGACUGCUUUGAAGGGCCAUUGUUCAUUUGGAAUGAUAAAGUCUAUGUUGUUCAAAAAACAAAUGCUUGUAGCAGGUAUUUUUUCACUCCAGACUGAGAAUAUUGGUGGGAUAUUGAUAAGGGGUACUGAAUGGUAAUAAACAUGUGCUCUAGCUCUGUGCUAGUCAGCUUAUUUCAGAACUCUAGUUUGAUUCAGUUUCUUGCCUCUGACUCAAAAUGGAGGGAGAGUGAUUUUUACAUAAGAGAACACACCCACAUAUCCUUUUGGCAGCAGCUACCUGCCAGAGAUGUUGAAGAAGAGUAGCCAACCUUUACACAGCAGAUAUUGUGUGCCAGUCAUAGUCCUAAGUAUAAUACCUUACAUGUAUAAACUUCUUAUAAGGUUGGUGCUCUGUACCGAAUUGAAUAGUAUCCCCCAAAAUUCAUGUUGUCCCAGAACCUAUGAAAGUGAUCUUACUUGAGGGAGGGGGGAGGGGGGAGGGAUAGCAUUAGGAGAUAUACCUAAUGCUAAAUGACGAGUUAAUGGGUGUAGCACACCAGCAUGGCACAUGUAUACAUAUGUAACUAACCUGCACAUUGUGCACAUGUACCCUAAAACUUAAAGUAUAAUAAUAAUAAAAUAAAAAAAAAAAAGAAAGUGAUCUUACUUGGAAAUAAGGUCUUUGCACAUAUGAUCAAGUUGAGAUGAAGUUGUACUGGAAAGUCUGUCUAGUGACUGGUGUUGUCAUAAGAAGAGAGGGACACAGAGGGAAGAUGGCCACAUGAAGAUGGAGGCAGAGAUUGCAGUUAUGCUGCUGCAAACUAAGGAAUGGCUCUGGCCCUCCAAGGAUUGCUGAUAACCACCAGAAACUAGAAGAGACAAGGAAGGAUUCUUCCCUAGAGCCUUCAGAGGGAGCAUGGCCCUACUGACACCUGGAUUUCAAACUUGUAGCUUCCUAAACUGCAAGAGAAUAAAUUUCUGUUGUUUUAAGCCAUAUAGUUUGUGGUAAUUUGUUAUGGCAGUCCUAGGUAAU
rnacentral:lncRNA from 1 species